rnacentral:rRNA from 1 species
CCUACGGGAGGCAGCAGUGGGGAAUAUUGGGCAAUGGGCGCAAGCCUGACCCAGCAACGCCGCGUGAAGGAAGACUGCUUUAGGGUUGUAAACUUCUUUUAUGAGGGACGAAACAAAUGACGGUACCUCAUGAAUAAGCCACGGCUAACUACGGGCCAGCAGCCGCGGGAAUACGUAGGUGGCAAGCGUUAUACGGAUUUACUGGGUGUAAAGGGCGUGUAGGCGGGACUGCAAGUCAGAUGUGAAAAUUAUGGGCUCAACCCAUAACCUGCAUUUGAAACUGGAGUUCUUGAGUGAUGGAGAGGCAGGCGGAAUUCGGGGUGUAGCGGUGAAAUGCGUAGAUAUACGGAGGAACACCAGUGGCGAAGACGGCCUGCUGGACAUUAACUGACGCUGAGGCGCGAAAGCGUGGGGAGCAAACAGGAUUAGAUACCCGAGUAGUC